ensembl:snRNA U2 U2 spliceosomal RNA
UUUGCUUUUCCGCCUUUUGGCUAAGAUGAAGUAUAGUACCUGUUCCUAUCAGUGUAAUAUCUGAUACGUACUUGAAGAUGACAUGUUAGACAUAUUACAUGGAUUUUUGGAGCAAGAGGUGGAAUAGGAGUUUGCUCAGUCCAUUCCUCGCAUUGACCUGGUAUUGUAGUAUUUUUGGGAAUGGUGCACCCCCU